rnacentral:lncRNA from 1 species
CACUCACGCGGAUCACCCAUGUGGCCCCCCUGCGUGGCCUCCCGCGUCAGCGCCUCUGCCACUUAGCGCGUCCUGGUUGGUCGGGGCUACUGACUGGGUGUCAGACGUGGUAAAUUUUUUUUUAAAUUGAGUUUUGACCUCUGGUUUCUGAUUUUUCUUUUAAAAAUACCAUCAGAACCUAAUUUUUUACCCAUUUUUCCCAAAAUUAUUUUCAAUUU